rnacentral:lncRNA from 1 species
GAAAAUACAAUAUAGUUUUCGGUGGAUUAUCCAAAUGAUAACAUCGUGGCCGUUGGUGGAAGCUACAAUCAUAUUUUCACAUAUGAUACAACGCUUAUCACAUCGCUAUACUUCACAACCUCCAGGGGUUUUACCUCUCCAUUAUUCGGUGAGAAGACGGGAACAGAUUUCGAGUUCCAAGGUGAAAAUAGAGGAAAACUUCUCGGGUUCCAUGGACGUGCUGGUUUUGCUAUUGAUGCCAUCGGAGCUUACUUCCACACUGGUUCACAAGGUGGCCAGGGAGGUGGUCCUAGACCUGUUGUCCCCGGAAAGAUAGGACCCUUAGGUGGUGCCAAGGGAAAUGAAUUUGAUGAUGUUGGUUUUGAUGGUGUGAAGAAAGUAACUGUGGGAGCAGAUGAAUUCAGUGUAACUUAUCUCAAGAUCGAAUACAUAAAGGACGGAAAAGUUGAGAUACGUGAACACGGGACAAAUCGCGGGCAACUAAAAGAGGUAUAAAACAUUGUGAUUAUUUUUUUUACGAUAAUAUUCAUUGGGUUUGCUAAUAAAUUGUUUGAUUUUUAUGGAAAAUAAAAUACAGUUCUCGGUGGAUUAUCCAAAUGAUAACAUCGUGGCCGUUGGUGGAAGCUACAAUCAUAUUUUCACAUAUGAUACAACGCUUAUCACAUCGCUAUACUUCACAACCUCCAGGGGUUUUACCUCUCCAUUAUUCGGUGAGAAGAAGGGAACAGAUUUCGAGUUCCAAGGUGAAAAUAGAGGAAAGCUUCUCGGGUUCCAUGGACGUGCUGGCUAUGCUAUUGAUGCCAUCGGAGCUUACUUCCACACCGGUUCACA